UAAUGUUACAGCUCUUUUAGAAUUUGUCUAGCAGAUUUUCUGGUCUCUACCAGAAAACAUCCGU